ensembl:snRNA U1 U1 spliceosomal RNA
AUAUUUAUCUGGCACUGGAGAGACUAGGAUCACAAAGGUGGUAUUCCAAGAGUGAGGCUCAUGAAUUGCACCCCAGAUGUGCUGAUCCCUGUGAUUUUUCCCAAAUGUGGAAAAUUUGACUGUAUAAUUUGUGGUAAUGGUAACUGAAUUGGUAAUUUUCCCC